rnacentral:rRNA from 1 species
UACGUAGGUGGCAAGCGUUGUCCGGAUUUACUGGGGCGUAAAAGAGCGCGCAGGCGGUCGUUCAAGUCGCGUGUGAAAGCCCCCGGCUCAACUGGGGAGGGUCACGCGAUACUGAUCGACUCGAAGGCAGGAGAGGGUAGUGGAAUUCCCGGUGUAGUGGUGAAAUGCGUAGAUAUCGGGAGGAACACCAGUGGCGAAGGCGA